rnacentral:rRNA from 1 species
CACGUAGGGAGCAAGCGUUGUCCGGAAUUAUUGGGCGUAAAGAGCUCGUAGGCGGUCUGUCGCGUCGAAUGUGAAAACCCGGGGCUCAACCCCGGGCCUGCAUUCGAUACGGGCAGACUAGAGUUCGGUAGGGGAGUCUGGAAUUCCUGGUGUAGCGGUGAAAUGCGCAGAUAUCAGGAGGAACACCGGUGGCGAAGGCGGGACUCUGGGCCGAUACUGACGCUGAGGAGCGAAAGCGUGGGGAGCAAACAGG